rnacentral:rRNA from 1 species
GAUGAACGCUGGCGGCGUGCCUAAUACAUGCAAGUCGAGCGAACAGACGAGGAGCUUGCUCCUCUGACGUUAGCGGCGGACGGGUGAGUAACACGUGGAUAACCUACCUAUAAGACUGGGAUAACUUCGGGAAAACGGAGCUAAUACCGGAUAAUAUAUUGAACCGCAUGGUUCAAUAGUGAAAGACGGUUUUGCUGUCACUUAUAGAUGGAUCCGCGCCGCAUUAGCUAGUUGGUAAGGUAACGGCUUACCAAGGCAACGAUGCGUAGCCGACCUGAGAGGGUGAUCGGCCACACUGGAACUGAGACACGGUCCAGACUCCUACGGGAGGCAGCAGUAGGGAAUCUUCCGCAAUGGGCGAAAGCCUGACGGAGCAACGCCGCGUGAGUGAUGAAGGUCUUCGGAUCGUAAAACUCUGUUAUUAGGGAAGAACAAAUGUGUAAGUAACUAUGCACGUCUUGACGGUACCUAAUCAGAAAGCCACGGCUAACUACGUG